CAGUCGCCACGGUAAUACGAAGGGGGCUAGCGUUGCUCGGAAUGACUGGGCGUAAAGGGCGCGUAGGCGGCUUGCACAGUCAGAUGUGAAAUUCCUGGGCUUAACCUGGGGGCUGCAUUUGAUACGUGUGGGCUAGAGUGUGAAAGAGGGUCGUGGAAUUCCCAGUGUAGAGGUGAAAUUCGUAGAUAUUGGGAAGAACACCGGUGGCGAAGGCGGCGACCUGGUUCAUGACUGACGCUGAGGCGCGAAAGCGUGGGGAGCAAACAGGAUUAGAUACCCCCGUAGUCCCUGUCUCUUAUAC
rnacentral:rRNA from 1 species